rnacentral:rRNA from 1 species
GACGAACGCUGGCGGCGUGCCUAAUACAUGCAAGUUGAGCGCUGAAGGUUGGUACUUGUACCAACUGGAUGAGCAGCGAACGGGUGAGUAACGCGUGGGGAAUCUGCCUUUGAGCGGGGGACAACAUUUGGAAACGAAUGCUAAUACCGCAUAAAAACUUUAAACACAAGUUUUAAGUUUGAAAGAUGCAAUUGCAUCACUCAAAGAUGAUCCCGCGUUGUAUUAGCUAGUUGGUGAGGUAAAGGCUCACCAAGGCGAUGAUACAUAGCCGACCUGAGAGGGUGAUCGGCCACAUUGGGACUGAGACACGGCCUAAACGCCUACGGGAGGCAGCGGUAGGGAAUCUUCGGCAAUGGACGAAAGUCUGACCGAGCAACGCCGCGUGAGUGAAGAAGGGUGUCGGAUCGUAAAACUCGGUUGGUAGAGAAGAACGUUGGUGAGAGUGGAAAGCUCAUCAAGUGACGGUAACUACCCAGAAAGGGACGGCUAACUACGUG